CAAUAGCGUAUAUUAAAGUUGUUGCAGUUAAAAAGCUCGUAGUUGGACCUUGGACCUGGACAGGCGGUCCGCCUCACGGCGUGUACUGUCUUGCUGGGUCUUUCCUCUUGGUGAUCUGUUGUUUCGGCAGCAGGGAACCAGGGCUUUUACUUUGAAAAAAUUAGAGUGUUCAAAGCAGGCUCGACGCCGGAAUAUAUUAGCAUGGAAUAAUAAAAUAGGACGUGCGGUUCUAUUUUGUUGGUUUUUGGAAUCGCCGUAAUGAUUAAUAGGGACAGUCGGGGGCAUUAGUACUCACAUGCUAGAGGUGAAAUUCUUGGAUUUUGUGAAGACUAACUUCUGCGAAAGCAUUUGCCAAGGAUGUUUUCAUUAA
rnacentral:rRNA from 1 species